rnacentral:tRNA from 1 species
AUAAAAAUAAGCUAAAUAAAGCUUUUAGGUUCAUACCCUAAAUAUAGAAAUUAAAUCUUUUUUAUA